UCUUGUAAACUAGAGGCUCUAAAGAGCCUGUGUUGCUCACCUUGGUCUAUGUGAAUAUUAAACAAUGGACACAGAUAGAUUCAUGACAAAAUUGUGUUUUUGUGAUGGUGAUGUGUUUGUAGAUCUUACUUUACUAAACAUUCUUGCUGCUUACAAUUAUCUCUAUCUAUAACAGUACUUUCUGUGGAAAAUGUUAUUGAAAAUCUUCAAAUUUUAAGAAAAUUGUUAAAAAUUGACUAUGAAGAGCAAUAACUCCUUAGGGGGUCAAUUGACUAUUUUGGUCAUACUGACUUAUUUUUAGUUCUUACUUUGCUGUGCAUUAUUGCUGUUCACAGUUUAUCUCUAUCUAUAAUAAUAUUCAAGAUAAUAACAAAAAAACAGCAAAAUUUCCUCAAAAUUACCAAUUCAGGGGAGGCAACCUAACAACCGAUUAUCCGAUUCAUCUGAAAAUUCCAGGGCAGAUAGAUCGUGACA
rnacentral:lncRNA from 1 species